AUUGAACGCUGGCGGCAGGCCUAACACAUGCAAGUAGGGCGAGCGGCGGACGGGUGAGUAAUGCUUGGGAAUCUAGCUUAUGGAGGGGGAUAACUACGGGAAACUGUAGCUAAUACCGCGUACCAUAGGAUGAGCCCAAGGGGGAUUAGGUAGUUGGUGAGGUAAAGGCUUAACAAGCCGAGGAUCUCUAGCUGGUCUGAGAGGAUGACCAGCAACACUGGGACUGAGACAUGGCCCAGACUCCUACGGUAGGCAUCAGUGGGUAAUAUUGCGCAAUGGGGGCAACCUGACGCAGCCAUGCAGCGUGAAUGAAGAAGGCCUUCGGUUUUGAAAGUUCUUUCGGUAGCGAGGCGUUAACGACAGAGGAAGCACCGGCUACCUACGUGCCAGCAGCCGCGGUAAUAC
rnacentral:rRNA from 1 species